CGGGCACUCAGCACAUCUCCUCUGCAGUGCUCAGCAGUUGCUGGAGAGGGGAAGCCCCAUUUUUUUUUUGGCUUUAAGGGGUUGGGGGAGCUCCACUGACCCCUUAAAGUCAAGAAAAAACAUG